GCACGGGUGAGUAACACGUGACUAACCUACCUUCGAGUGGGGAAUAACCUGGGGAAACCCGGGCUAAUACCGCAUAAUACCUACGGGUCAAAGGAGCAAUUCGCUUGAAGAGGGGGUCGCGGCAGAUUAGUUAGUUGGCGGGGUAAUGGCCCACCAAGACGAUGAUCUGUAUCCGGCCUGAGAGGGCGCACGGACACACUGGAACUGAAACACGGUCCAGACUCCUACGGGAGGCAGCAGUGGGGAAUUUUGCGCAAUGGGGGAAACCCUGACGCAGCAACGCCGCGUGGAGGAUGAAGUCCCUUGGGACGUAAACUCCUUUCGAUCGGGACGAUUAUGACGGUACCGGAAGAAGAAGCCCCGGCUAACUUCGUGCCAGCAGCCGCGGUAAUACGAGGGGGGCAAGCGUUGUUCGGAAUUAUUGGGCGUAAAGGGAGUGUAGGCGGUUUGGUAAGUUGUGUGUGAAAUCUUCGGGCUCAACCCGAAGUCUGCACACAAAACUGCCGGGCUUGAGGGUGGGAGAGGUGAGUGGAAUUUCCGGUGUAGCGGUGAAAUGCGUAGAUAUCGGAAGGAACACCUGUG
rnacentral:rRNA from 1 species